GGGAGAUAGACAUGGCCAUAGCUGACAAGUUACAGAGUUCCUCUAUGCUAUGUGCCAGUGCAAUACCUCUGAACAAUUUUGAUGGGUUCAGCAAAGCUCAGAGUGACAGACUUUGGUCAUCCUCAGGUCGACAUGAUGAGAGAGAGAGAAAGAAAAAUGCACAAGAUGGAUUUGCCAUCGUGUUUCUUACAAGGACUAACAGUGGGAUUAAAUGUGCCCUGAAGAGGAUGUGCUUGCAAGUAGGCAAAAGAGAAAUGCAAAUUGUGCUUUUGUGCAAUAAAGAAGCGUUGGAAACGUUGCUUUUGCAUCAAUGCAGUAUUUCAGGAGAGAGAAAAACACGGCUGGCAGAAACUGGAUUUCUGUUGUUGAUAAAGCUGAGCUGAGCUCUGGACUGACUCUUGCACCUGGGAAUGUGAGUAAAGCUUGCAGACACAGAGGAAGAAUGUUUCCCUGCAGGUUGAGCACGUCAGAGGUGGGUCAUUGCUAGGAGAGCUUGUGCUUUACAGCAGCAGGUCUUAUAGAGAAGGUAAUUCUAAAAGCAAGCUUGCCAGUUCUUUACCUAGGUGGCUUUUGAGCAAGAAAAGAUUUGAGAUGCUAUUUGCUCAUGGAAGAUGGAGCGGCAAAAAGCAAGUAAAAGGCAUGCUGUGCAUAGCCAGCGUAUUGCAUCUGCACUGUUCUCCCCCUGCACAAAGGAGGAGAAGCUUAGCGAGCUUGGCCUGGGCCAUCAAAGGGAACAUCCAAACAUCUGGACCAACCCCAAAUGAGUUAGUUGUGUAGGUUGGUUGUUUUCUGCUGUUUGUCUCACAUCCUUCUGGAAAGAAAGCAGGAGGAGACAGGCCUCAGAUUUGAUCCUGUUGUGCAUGAUGAUUAAUGCCAAGGGACAGAAAUGUGUGCUUAGGCAGGGGAGAAGCUAGGAAAGCUGAGCAUUGUAGAGAAACAAGAUUAAAACAGAGCUCAUUCUACAUGGCUGUUCAGUGCUUUGAAGAUCUUGCAGCAGGAUCUGUCUGGCUGCAGGAACAUGGUUGGAUGCACUGAUUCCAGUAGAAUCUCAGUAAGCAGUGGCAAAGUGUGCAAAGUGCUGAUAGCAAUGGACUUCUGCUGAGCUGUCCCAACACUUUGAUCCCAUGCUGACAGUAUCAGGUGUUUGAAAAAUGAUGCAUGUGCUGUGCUCAGAAUAAAGUGUUGAGCAAAAAGGAUGUUUGGGCCAGGUGACCUCAGAAGUCUGUCACCUGUUUUAGAUGGUGGCAGAUGAUGGAAACAGAUGUUCUUGGGACUGUUGAGCCUUUAACUUAAGUCAGGUGUACUGUAGCAAGAACCAUUAGGUUCUAAAAUGCCUUUAAACAUGCACACUCCCUAAUUCUGUUGUGCCAU
rnacentral:lncRNA from 7 species